GAAAUAAAUACUAAAAUACGAAACUUUGUCAAAAAUGUUGAAAGUAAAUUGUGUUCAGCGUGAGAAACUACACCAGUAUAUGAAGUUUCAAACUGUUUAGUUAAAAAAAGAAAAUCAAAAAUCUGUGGUCCAAACGAAGUCGUUUGAAACCAAUAUUUAAACCAUAUGCAGCGCAUACAUUGGGAAAGACACCCAAUAACGCUAAGUAUGCCCUUCGCAGAAUGAGCCCAAAACCUGUUCAUUGACAUAUAAGAACUCUGACAAAAGGCUAAUUGUUUAGUUUUAAUAAUAUUCCAGUUAUACACUUUACCGCGUAAUUAAGUGGCUGUCAUUACUUUCUAUAGUUUAAUAUAUUCAUCAUUUUUAAACAUUCCUUUUCUCCCUCUCCUGCUGCUACCACAUUCACAGUUAAACAGCAUUCUAACUGAAGUAGGUCAUACUUUCAGAACUGUGAGGUUUUCGUGGAGAAUUUACUUUCACUUUAUCAGCCUUCGAGUCAAUUACUACUACAUUCAAUUUGUUUGACGUGGAAUUCAAUUUGUGGAAAGAAUGGGAGAAGCUCAAUCCAAAGUUGGGGAAGUAGUUAAAGUGACAGAAAACCUGACAAAUUUGCAGGCUUUUCAAAGGAGGAAAUAUGGUUCAGUUCCUGAAAAUUUGGAAUACCUUCCCGGUCUCCUUGGUGAAGUAAUAGAAGAAACCGCGUCUGGUUGUAUAGUUGUGAAAUUUGGAUCAAAACUAGGAAAUUUUAUUCUUCCUGCUUCUUAUGUCAGCAGGUACACUAGGAAUUAACAUCCAGAGCGUUCAUUUUUCGGUUGGCUAUAUGGAAAGAAAUAAUUGAAAAGAAUCACAGCAAUGAUGACUCUUCCAUUCCUCUUUUUACUCCUUGACUGUCUCUCUGUUUCCCAGUCUGUCUGUCUGUCUGUCUGUCUGUCUGUCUGUCUGUCUGUUUGCCUGACUGUCUCUAUGUAUGUGUGUGUGUGUGUGUGUGUGUGUGUGUGUGUGUGUGUGUGUGUGCGUGUAUCUUCUUCCUCUUGCUGUCUGAAAUUUGUGCUUUACGUCUUCCGCCAAGAAUACAUAUCACCUCCCCCUAUCUCUCCCUCUUUCUCUGUAUUUCUUGCACAUUUUAACAAAUUUCCUCUUAUCUAUAAUCAUCCUCGGUAACUCCAUAAUUCUUCUUAGAUCCCUCCUUCAUUAUAUACUGACACAGAGACCGAACCUUUCGCUAUGUUCAACUCCCUGCAUCUGGUUAUUUCACCACUUACAUCAAUCUCUGAUCAACAGAUAGGUACCCUUCUACAACACAAGGACAUAUUCACUACCCAUGAUCAACAAACAUAAACGUCACAUACACUAGACCUAACUAUCUCUCAGAGACUUGUGCUGACAAACAUACACCGUUUAAUAUUAAAAAAACAAUGCAUCACUAAGAAUGUUAAUCCACUUCGAGUUCAGAAAAGAUGCUAACUCACAACAAAUCUCUGCUAACUCACAACAAAUCUCUGCUAACUCACAACAAAUUUCUGCUAACUCACAACUAAUCUCAUCCAAAGCCACAGUAAACUACCAAUGCUGAUGCUACACAGGUUAACAACUUAGACAGGCUUCAAAAUAGGCAACUCAUCGUAUGGAUAAAGUUGCUCGCUAUCACUCUAACCUUCAAACCACAAAUGUAAUUUCUUCUUUCUCUUCCUUUUCUAUUUCUACUGAAAUCUCGAUAAUUGCAUAAGAAAAUCCAGUUUCAUUCGUAUCUCUUGCCCUUCGUUCACAUUGUGCUUUUUCUUUUGUCCUAUUUCAACUGGGUGACUGGACAGAUUACCUACUAUGGUAAAUUGUAACAUCGAUCGUUACAACAUCAAUAAAUAUUUUUACAACUUGA